GACGAACGCUGGCGGCGUGCUUAACACAUGCAAGUCGAGCGGAAAGGCCCUUCGGGGUACUCGAGCGGCGAACGGGUGAGUAACACGUGAGUAAUCUGCCCUUCACUCUGGGAUAGCCACCGGAAACGGUGAUUAAUACCGGAUACGACCAAUCCCUGCAUGGGGUGUUGGUGGAAACUUUUUUGGGUGGGGGAUGUGCUCGCGGCCUAUCAGCUUGUUGGUGGGGUAAUGGCCUACCAAGGCUUCGACGGGUAGCCGGCCUGAGAGGGUGACCGGCCACACUGGGACUGAGACACGGCCCAGACCCCUACGGGAGGCAGCAGUGGGGAAUAUUGGACAAUGGGCGGAAGCCUGGUCCAGCAACGCCGCGUGAGGGAUGACGGCCUUCGGGUUGUAAACCUCUUUCAGCACCGACGAAGCGCAAGUGACGGUAGGUGCAGAAGAAGGACCGGCCAACUACGUGCCAGCCGCCGCAGUAAUAC
rnacentral:rRNA from 1 species